UUUCCGUAGGUGAACCUGCGGAAGGAUCAUUAACGAGUUAGGGUCUUCUAGCCCCGACCUCCCAACCCUAUGUUUAUUGAACCUCUGUUGCUUCGCCGGACCCGCCUCACGGCCGCCGGAGGACCGCUGCAAGGCGUCCUCUGGCCAGCGUCCGCCGAUGGCCAACCACUUAAACUCUGAAUGAAUCGGGUCAUAUGUCUAAGUCUAUGACUAAAUUAAAGCAAAACUUUCAACAACGGAUCUCUUGGUUCUG
rnacentral:misc_RNA from 1 species